CGGAGUGUGGCGCAGCCUGGUAGCGCACCUCGUUCGGGACGAGGGGGUCGCAGGUUCAAAUCCUGCCACUCCGA
rfam:Methyloceanibacter superfactus strain R-67175 contig_21, whole genome shotgun sequence.